UAAACUCCCUUAACUCGGUCCUCUCUCUAAAAAAAAACACAAGAACUCAACAGUCGAAAACCCAAGUAAGUUUAUUAUCCUCUCUUGUUAUGUUUCAUGUCUUUAGUUCUUGCCUUUUUGAUGUCACCAUCUUUGUCUAUGCAAAGGGGGUUUUGUCAGUUUAGAUUGUCUCUUUGAAUUUAGGAAGAUAGAAGGGAAAAGUUCAUAUUUUUUUUUGAAUUUGGGUUUAGAAGGAUUUAAGCUUUGGUGGUAAUUGAUUAUUGAGGUUUGUUGAAAUGGGCUCUAAUUUGGAGCCAAUUCCGAUAACAUCGCAAAAACAUGACCCGGCGUGGAAGCAUUGUCAAAUGUUUAAGAAUGGAGAGAGGGUGCAGUUAAAAUGUGUGUAUUGUGGCAAAAUUUUUAAAGGAGGAGGGAUUCAUAGGAUUAAGGAACAUUUAGCUGGUCAAAAGGGUAAUGCUGCUACUUGUUUACAAGUUCCUUCGGAUGUUAGGCUUAUGAUGCAACAAAGUUUAGAUGGGGUUGUAGUUAAGAAGCGGAAGAAGCAAAAAAUUGCAGAGGAGAUAACGAAUUUGAAUCCAGUUUCUAGUGAGUUAGGGGUUUUUGAUAAGGAUGUUAAUACUGGAAUGGAGUUAACUGGGGUUUCAGAUGCUAUUGACCCUGUUUCAAGUUUGUUAGUUAGUGGAGAAGAUGGACUGAGAAAAAAAGGCGGGGAGAGGAGGAAGAGGGGAAGGGGUAGAGGCAGAGGUUCUGUUACAAAUUCGAAAGCUGUUGUUACCAUGAGUAGUGUUAUGCCGUUAUCAGGGGGUAAAAGGACAAACGAUCACAUUCAUAUGGCAAUAGGGAGGUUUUUGUAUGACAUCGGGGCAUCUUUGGAUGCUGUGAACUCGGCUUAUUUUCAGCUAAUGGUUCAAGCAAUUGCUUCAGGAGGAUCAGAGGUUUUAGUGCCUUCAUACCACGAUCUUCGAGGUUGGGUACUGAAGAAUUCAGUUGAAGAAGUAAAGAAUGAUGUUGAUAAGCACAGAGCAACCUGGGAAAGGACUGGCUGUUCUGUUUUGGUUGAUCAGUGGAACACAGUAAUGGGUAGAACUCUGAUAAAUUUUUUGGUUUAUUGUCCUGAUGGAGUGGUGUUUUUGAAAUCCGUGGAUGCAUCUGAUAUUAUUAAUUUACCAGAUGCUCUUUACGAAUUGCUUAAGCAAGUAGUUGAAGAAAUUGGAGCAAGACAUGUUUUACAAGUCAUUACUCGAAUGGAAGAGCAAUUAAUCUGUGCAGGGAGAAGGUUAGCUGAUACUUUCCCUAACCUUUAUUGGGCUCCUUGUGCAGCACAUUGUCUAGAUUUGAUACUUGAGGAUUUUGCAAAACUUGAGUGGAUAAAUUCAGUAAUUGAACUGGCGAGGUCUAUGACAAGAUUUGUAUACAAUCAUAGUGUGGUUUUGAAUAUGAUGAAAAGGUAUACUUUUGGAAAUGAUAUUGUAGAACCAGGAAUUACUCGCUUUGCCACAAACUUUGGAACAUUGAAACGAAUGGUUGAUCUUAAACAUAACCUGCAGAACAUGGUUACUUCACAGGAGUGGGUGGACUGCCCAUAUUCAAAGAAACCUGGGGGGCUGGAAAUGUUAGAUUUGGUAAGCGAUCAGUCAUUUUGGUCAUCAUGCAUCCUAAUAACCCAUUUAACUAAUCCUCUCUUGCAAGUUCUGAGACUAGUUGGCAGCAAGAAGAGGCCAGCUAUGGGAUAUAUUUAUGCAGGAAUGUAUCGAGCUAAAGAAGCAAUUAAGAAAGAACUUAUAAAGAGGGAGGAGUAUAUUGUCUACUGGAAUAUUAUAGACCAUUGGUGGGAACAAGAAUGGAAUCUCCCUCUUCAUGCUGCGGGUUUCUACCUUAAUCCCAAGUUCUUUUAUAGUUUUGAAGGAGAUAUGCCCAAUGAGAUUCAGUCUGGGAUGUACGAUUGCAUAGAAAAGUUUGUUCCUGACUUAAAUGUCCAAGAUAAAAUCAUCAAAGAGGUAAACUCUUACAAGAAUGCUGGUGGUGAUUUUGGGAGGAAGAUGGCUGUUAGAGCUAGGGACACUAUGCUUCCUGCUGAAUGGUGGUCAACAUAUGGAGGAAGUUGCCCAAACUUGGUGCGUUUGGCCAUCCGUAUUCUCGGUCAAACCUGCAGUUCAAUUGAGUAUAAGCGAAGCCAGAUUCCUUUUGAACAAUUGCAUGAUACAAAAAAUUGCCUGGAGCGUCAACGACUCAGUGAUCUAGUUUUUGUUCAGUGCAACUUGCGACUCAGACAAAUGGUUGAUGAGAAUGAGGAACAGGAUCCUAUAUCAUUUGAUAGCAAUAAUACAUUGAAGGACUGGGUCGAGGGAAAAGAAUUGUGCUCGGAAGACUUUGAUGCAUUGAAUUGGAUGGCAGUUGAUCCACCUUCUGACAAUGCAAGGCUCCUGGGAACUUCACACAGUGAAAUCGAAGACUUAGGUCCAGGGUUUGAUGAUUAUGAGAUUUUUAAUAGAGUAAAAGAGGGCGAGGAGGAAAAUGUUGAAUCAAUGUAGCAGGUCAACAGAAAAGCAUCCAAGGUACACUGGUCUCACCUGGAGUAUUUAUGACAAUCACUGAGUUGCCUAUACUAGAGAGAUAUUGUGAUCAUCUAACUUGACUCUGUGAUUGAAGUAGACACAAUUACCAAUGGAUUAGGACUUCCAUGUGUGUAAAACCAAUUACCAGGAAGACUGGUCUUGACCAGGGUGAAAGAGAGAAAAAGAUACGAUUGGGAAUGGUUCUAUUAGUAAAUGCAGCCAGGUAGUUUUUAUGUCAGAGAAAAAUGCAUUUCAAUUGACAGAUGAAUGGAUGUGGUUUUAUACAUAAGCAUGCUCUUGUACAUUUAAUCCCUUCAACUAACAUUCAUGUCUUUUUAGUGCUAAUUUUUAUUCUGCCAAUUAAAGUCACUUGGCAUUGUAACCAAUUGACCAGGGAUCAAAUCCUUCUUACACAGUUACACUUGGGAUUGAACAGGAAAAGGGAGGUUGCCUCCUUUUAUGGAACCAAAGGUUCAAUUAGUCUUCUGAUGAACAAAUAAACAAAAAACUUUUCUGCAAAGGUAGGUGUUCAGUUGUGAAUAAUUUGUCUUUUUCUGCCAAGCAUUUCUAUUUUGGCAAUUGAGUUAUACCAUAUGAUGGGAUCAUUAUAGCCCUGAUUCAUGGUAUUGGUUGAUAAUGGACUUCUGUCUUCAAGAUGGAUUAGAGUAAACAAAAUGGGGAAGAGAAAAAAGUGUAUGAUAAAAGCACUAGUUAUUUAUUCAAUAUUUUCAGAGUCUUAUGUUUUAAAUCGAAUAUUACAUGUUCUGAUUCUUAAUCAUGGUUGAGAUUUGAUUUUAGUUGAGGUUCAGAUUGUAUAACAAAUUAAGAUGUGCUGAAUUUUUGGAGAGUAAGUGGGAACAUUUUUUUGUUAUUGUUAAUACUUCUUUCUUGCACGCAGUUGUAACCUUUGCAUUAUCAUUUAUGAACCCAUUACAAUUAAUAUUUGCAACCAUUGGAACAUAAAAGAGGUCAGCUGAAACAGAGAAUCCCUAAACUAUUGAAGAACUGGAGAGGGUUUGAGGCUGAACUUCCAAGAUUAAGGUAAAACAUUAUGCUACAACGUCCAGCCUUAAUUGUCUUCAACAUUUAAAGUUACAAGAUUUGUUCGAAGAAACAACGUUAGUGCUAGAUGAUUUAUUUUUUAUUUUCAUUCCAUAAGUGAUGAAGGGUUUUGACCAGGGUUUUGGUAUUUAUCAACCUUCGUUUAUUAUGGAAUUAAACCAACUCUGGUUUUAGGAAGGUUUUGAGGAAGAGUAGGAAGAAUGUGUGAAAACUACGAGGGUUUCUUUUGUGCUCCUUCGGAGGCUUGACAUUUUUGUUCAAAUAUGAUACAUCUCAAGAUGUAGACUUCUGUGAUUCACUCAGAGUAAAUGUGAUUCUGUGUAAAUAGUGGAUCUCUGCGAUGUCAUGUUGAAGAAUUUGAUGGAUGAUUGGCAUUUUUUAUGCUGAUUUUACACGUGCAGUUGAAGUAACUUCAACAGUCAAACUUCAACGCAGGGAAAAGACCCCACUAGAAUUUCUCCUUUUCUUCCUCUUUCUUUUUCGCUACACUUUGUUCAACCUAUUUGCUGUCAGAUAGUUGGUUCUUGUUUCACGUGUGGCACUACAAUUGACCUUGCUCUAGGAGAGCUUCAAUAGGAGCUCGCAAGACCAAAUCAAUGCAUCAGCUUCAACUUUCUUGGGUAAAUAAGCUGUGUCAAUGUGGCCAGCAUCUUUGACCGGUGAAAAAGCUUCAACAAUGCCUCAUUUACUUGCGAAUUGCACAGAGAAACAGAACAAGAGGAACUUUUAAUCAACAGCUAUUGAAGGUGACUUCCAUCCUUUCCUUGUUUAUUUGUCUUUCUAGUUUUGUAUCAGUUGCUAUUACAGUGUUUUUAGGGUAACUUUGACUUAGCGAUUUUCUUUUGUGGUUACAAUGUGAUUAAUUUAUACAUCUGAGAUAGUGCAUUAACGUAUUCACUGUGUCCCGUGUUGUAGAAGAAGGUUGAAUCCUAAACUUAUCUACCCUCUACAAUUUCUCGUGUGUUUGUGCUGUAGAACUCAUGUGAAGUCAAAGAACAAUGUCGUGUUAAACUCGAUUGAUCUGUAUGGAAGCAACAUGGUGCGUGCCAUUCACUAUCUUGCAAAAUCACGUUCAUUCAAUGUUCAGUACACUAAAUCAAAAAACCUUUGACAUUGUAGGAUGGUAAACUCAUUCACUCAAGUUUCCACGUCCUUUUUAGCAGCACAUCCUUAUCCCACUAUAAAAUGUCCUGUAACCAGUUGAUAGUUGAAGGAACUUUUUGCAUAUAAUAGUGAGAUUUUGCAAUAUUCUUAAGAAUAAACUGAACGACCCA